AUAGUAAUGCAAACUCACAUUCAAAUGCAAAUCAUACAAUGCCGGUUAGACAAAGAUCAAUGAAGCAUCGCGGUGGCAGCAGCAGUAGCAGUGUUGGUAGUGGCCCGGGUGGUGGAUCUAAUCAGAGCGGCUUUAGUCGAGCUCCACCUCCACCUCCACCCCCACCGCCAUUGCCACCACCAUUUCCUGUGAUGCCUUAUGGGAAUCUGUUACCUCCUGUUCUUGAUCCUCGUGUGAGAGGUCCUAGACCCGUUGGAGGAGUUCCUUCUCAGCCACAUGGAGGUGAUCAAUCUUCACAUAGAAAUCCAAACAGGAAGGGCAACUUUGGGGGCCGACCCCGUGGAGAUGGAUCUUAUCAUAGUAGGCGUGAUCAAGAUCGGAGAGAUGUUCACCAAGCCCCUCAAUUUGUCCCUCCUCCUGUAGGGUUUAUAACACCCCAGUCCCCUGGUUCUGCCCCAUUUAUGCCUGCACCUUUGAGACCCUUUGCUGGUCCAGUGGGAUAUGGUAAGUCUUCCUUAGCAUCUGUUCAUUAUCUAGAGGCUGAAAAUUUUCACUUAUUUCUUUGGUUCCUUUCAGAUAUGCCACCUCAAUUCAUAUAUGUCCCCACAAUGCCUCCAGAGUCCUUUAGGGGUGUUCCAAUUAUCCCGCCACCUCCUCCACCACCACCACCUUUCUUUUUUCCAGUCGUGGAUCCAAACUUACCUGCCUUGUUGGUUAAACAGAUCGAAUAUUACUUC
rnacentral:lncRNA from 1 species